rnacentral:piRNA from 1 species
UAUUUCUGGAUUUGACUGUGAAGUG